AAUGAGCCUGCGAGUUGUGGUGUCUGGCAAGGUUAAGCAAACGCGAAGCCGUAGCGAAAGCGAGUCUGAAUAGGGCGCUUAGUCAGAUGCUGCAGACCCGAAACGAAGUGAUCUAUCCAUGAGCAAGUUGAAGCUAGUGUAAGAACUAGUGGAGGACUGAACCCAUAGGCGUUGAAAAGCCCCGGGAUGACUUGUGGAUAGGGGUGAAAGGCCAAUCAAACUUCGUGAUAGCUGGUUCUCUCCGAAAUAUAUUUAGGUAUAGCGUUGUGUCGUAAUAUAAGGGGGUAGAGCACUGAAUGGGCUAGGGCAUACACCAAUGUACCAAACCCUAUCAAACUCCGAAUACCUUAUAUGUAAUCACAGCAGUCAGGCGGCGAGUGAUAAAAUCCGUCG
rnacentral:rRNA from 1 species